GCCUCGAUAGCUCAGUAGGUAGAGCAGCGGACUGAAAAUCCGCGUGGCGGUGGUUCGAUUCCGCCUCGAGGCACCA
rnacentral:tRNA from 1 species